rnacentral:sRNA from 1 species
GCUGGGUGUGGUGGCUCACACCUGUGAUCCCAGCACUUUGGGAGGCCGAGGUGGGAGGAUCGCUUGAGCCCAGGAGUUUGAGGCUGCAGUGAGCCGUGAUUGUGCCACUGCACUCCAGCCUGGGUGACAGAGUGAGACUCUGUCUCUA